GGGGGGGGGGGGGGGGGGGGGGGGGGGGGGGGGGGGGGGGGGGGGGGGGGUGCUUCAACCCACACAAGACUGUGGAGGACAGUGAAAGUGAAGUGGAAGAAGGGAGUGUCGAAGCAGAACUGGAAAGAGACGACGAUACAGAAGGAGACGAGUACAAUGAAUGGGAAUGAACAAUACAGGGAUGCAUCCAUGCAGAGUGAUCGGAUGGACAUUAAGCCGGAGGACCCAUCUGCCGGCACUGAUCGUUGGCGGAUGUUAAAGAUUGCACAAUGUUCUUCGCAAAGAAUAGGGGCCACUGCUGAGGGCCCCCAGGUACAGAGCUGGUCCCUUUUCAUUUCUCAAGAAGACUUCACCAUUCUUUUUCUUCGACAAAGUCAAGGCAAGGCAUCAAUGUGCGUGCCAUCUAUCAGAGGGACGUUAAGCCGGAGGACCCGUCUUCCAGCAACGGGGGAGUCGGUGGACACGUUAUAGAGAUCCCAUGGUGUCUUCACGAAGAGAGAUAUCUCAAAAAGUUGUGCACGGAUCCGGAUGCUUCCGUCGGGAUCAAGUGCUUAUAGUACGUAUCAAUUGCCAAUUCAACUGCAACAUUGGGACACCCAGAAAGAAUCAAGAGAGUGACCUUUUGGCUUUAACUUCAAACUCAUCUAAAUUCCUUCAAGCCAGGAAAGUUUGGGUGUGUCUUAUUAUAGGAGAUGUGACCCAUAAUGUAACAUUUUUGUCUGUGUACCUCUUUCAAUUUUUUUUUGGGAAAAGAUACAUUGACGACAUUUAUUGAUUUGCUGAAAUGUGGACCUUAAAAUAGCAAAUUGUACUGAACACUCAAAGCACACUGAUUUAAAAACUGUGAAACCCGCAUGAAGAUUUGUAAUUGGCUGUCAACAGGUGCUGAAUUUUUUUUCAAAAUAAUUUUGAAUAACUCCCUGAGAAACGCUUUCCAAUGACAUCGAUAUGGUGCAAACUUUUCCACAUAUAACAUUAUUUCAGAAAAGACUUGAAAAUCACAGAAAGAUCCCCCCCCCUUCACCACCACCACCACCCUAAGCCAGAAAUCCACACUUUAUUAUGGAGUCCAGAGCCAACCACACUACGGUAUCAUGUCAUCCAUCCAUUGGGAUCAUACUCUGUGGAGAGCAUUGGUGCUGCCGAAGCAGUCUCCUUGGCUAUCGGGUACAAUCCUGGGCAGGUCGCCACUCCGACACAGGAUACCAACAGGCUGGCACUCAUUUUGCCGACCUCAGAAGGAUGAGAGGCAGUCAAACUCACCUGGUAUUAAUUCAACAGCCAAUGGGGAUUUGAACUCAGGAUCCUGGGAUCCACAAACCCACCACCCCUCCCUUUAAGCUAAUACCAGGCACAUAAUGUCAGUAAAGCUCCAAAUGACCUUUUUAUUUUGUAUUUUUACAAAGUUAUCUUAGGCUCAUGGAAGGGCUUUUCCAUAAAUCGCAUGCAGGACAAGGACAUCAUGAGACAUUCUUGUACUUCUGCACGGACAGAUGCAGAAGAUGGACAAAUCAACAAAGAGUUUGGAAUUUGAACACAGUAUCAUAGAACCGUGAGCUUUGGCUUCAAAUGGGAACGCUAUAACUAACAGCGAGCUGAUCUCAUAUCUAGAAAAGUCUGUUUUUAAACGAAGGAGAUAUCCAAAACACAGAACAUAUCAUCUGAUCCAAUCUUCACGAAGUAGUGCUGAAAGCUUAUCAUGCAUGUGACACGCUAUGUCAUCGAAAAGUGGAACCAAUCAGUGUAAUUUCCAUUAAGCCUAGUUAACAUGGCGAAUUAUAACUGUUAUUAUUGAAACUCUUGUGAGAAUUUCCAGUUUCUACAUUGACAAUAACCAAAUUAUUAUGCAUAUAAUUAAACACACAUUGUAUUUUGUUUUGUUAAACAUGGGGAAAAUAAAUUCGACUUGAGAAAAUUAUUAUUUUUUCAUCAGUAGCCAUAGUUAAACAGUUCAUUAGAAUAUUGAAUUUGAGUCUUAUAUCAUGUGACAGAAUAAAACAAUGGCCUCACACAUACAUGGCAGGUGUUUGAGCAAAAUCCAGCAUUGUUUACAGCUUUAUUUCAUAGUUGGAACAUUGUUUGUCCACAAAUCACUCAGGAAUUAAAAGUUCAAUGAUGCAUACCAUCCAUCCAUUGGGACCAUACUCUAUUUAGAGCGUUGGUGCUGCCUAAGCAGUCUCCUUGGCUGUUGGGCACAAUACUGUACGGGCUGCCACUCCAACACAGUAUACCAACAAGCUGGCACUCAUUUUGCAGACCUCAGAAGGAUGACAGGCAGAGUCAACCCUACCUGAUAUUAAUUCAACAGCCGAGGGUGGAUUUGAUCUCAGGAUACUUGGAUCCCAAGCCCACUACCCUAACCAUUAAGCCAUCACCAGGCAUAUAUAAUGCAUACAUUAGGAUGUUUUGUGGCAUUAUGAGAAAGUGAGACUGCACUUGGACCAAAAAUACUAACAGACACUUUGAAAUCAACUUUUUGAGCUUCUUGGGCAGGCGUUAUCCACCUCUGAACCUCCCACACCCAUCCAGGGCAUUUUCCAUCCUUAACAGAUGCCCAUCCUCCUCUCCAUCAUAUAUCACUUGUUACUUUGCCAACAUUCUGCUCCUCCAAAUCCAUGACAACAUUCUGUCGCAGGAAUGAUGCAUAGUCAGAAAAUCAGCUUCUGGCUUGUUUCAGACCCGUUUCUACAUCAUCAUCUUCAUUUCCACUCAAAUUCACAACGUUUUGUUAAUUAUUUGUCUCCUGCCAUUUUCCCAGGAAGUCAAUUUCGUAUUUUGUGAUGCAAACGACAAUUUUGACCUCAAAGCAAGCAACCAUAUAUAUAAGGCCAAGAUACAAUCUCUGAUGGAAUAGAGAUCAGCUGCUUGGGUGGGUGCUUCAUCAACUUCCCUGAAGUCAACUCGAUUCUGUACAAGCCAGGGAAUGUAAAACUCUAGAGUAGGAAACUCAAAUAAUGAUGAGACAUAUGAUAAAUAAUCAAAUCACGAGAACAUCGUAGAAUGGGAGAGCGACCGUACACCUUGUGAUGUGACGCCCUACCUUUGAAACAGCAAACCGACAGUUAAGAGUCGGAUCAGGUAUCAAACCCAGGCUGAAGAUUUAAAGCCAGGUUCGACAAGUCUAAGGGAAGUGUACCAUCCUGACAGACUUUCAAUCUAUUAGCAUACAUUAUUGGUAAGAAAAAGAUUUCCUUACUAAUAUUGGACUUUUCAAAAUGAUGUAUAAAUGCAAACGAGGCCUUUCGUGUAUGUACUGCAUUUGUGUUUUCAGAGACUCACAUCCGCUCAAUGGGGCGCUGUUAACCUGCCAUUACUAUUAGUGGGGUCAAAAACUUGAAGUGUCUGACACUCUGUGAAAAGCAAUAUUUGGGCAUUUUCUACUAGUUUGGGGUCUGAGGAGCAGAUUUAGCUGUGUGUGCCAAUUCUCACCCCCUGCAUUUCUCCCCCACCCCCUUGAAGGAGAGAGCAUGUGGGUGGCAAGCAUGUCUGAUGCAACUUGGAUAGUUAUCAUUGAAGAAUGUUGUUUUGGUUUCAGAUGAAAGUCUAUAUGGUCCACAACAAUUGUAAAUCACACUCACUUCAGAUAUACUCACAUAUCAGCCCCCAUGAGAACCCCACCCCCCGAAGGAGGGGGGGGGUGUUCUCAUUAUCUCCAGUCCAACAACAGCUGUCAAGAAACCCUAUGUGUGACACAUGAAAUAACAUCGAUUUUUCAAGAGAACUUCAUUGGUGCACGUAUCAGUGACUUCAAACAUGACCUUCACAUUGGUAGGCAUGACUUUUGAUAUGCGAAUUCCUGAAAAUCCAACAUAAAAAGAUCAAAAUUUAGUUGUUAAAAAAAUAUUGUAUGGUCCAUGGUGACCCCACCCUCUAACCAAUCUUGCACUGAUUGAUGUAUUUCCCCAAAAAUACAAAACCAGUUGUAAAUUGUUGAUUCACAUUUAUGCACACGUACACCCAUAUUCCUCCAAUAAAUCUAUAAAUAAUGUCACAAGGACAAACCUAUGUGGUCGUGAGUAUUCUUUGUUGGACUCUCCCUUUACCAUCCAUUUUGUAUUUCAUCAAGAAGAAAAUUAUUUUGUAAUUUUCGUAAGAAACAAGUCUGGAGACGGCGAUAGUUCACGAGCAAUGUACACGGUUCGCAUUUUUAAUUUUUUGACCUUCGAGGGGACGUCACAGGCAAACUGGCGGGAAUCGGGAAAAACGUAAAUGAUGAAAGUUGUAGUACUCAAAGAGCACUAAUUGCAUACCAACUUUCAUUCAAAACAUUGGAAAACUCGGGGGGGGGGGGGGGGGGGGGG
rnacentral:lncRNA from 1 species